CUAAAAGGGAUUGGAGGAGACUUUGGGAGAUGUUGGAUAUGUUCUUGGCCUUGAUGGUUUCAUGGGUAUGUUUAUCCCCAAACUCAUUGAAUUGUAUGCAUUAAAUAUGUACAGUUUUUAAUAUGUCAGUCAUACCUCAAUAAAGUGGUAUAAAACAUAAAAGAGUAUUACUGUUCUUCACAGACUCUUCUGAAGUGCUCAUAACUUUCUUAAGAACAUUGCCAGCAUCUGAUCAUCACUACAGAAAUGGUGAAAACAAGGGGUCACCUCCUAUAUUUUCAAGACAAGAAAAAAGAGAAGCAAGUGUCAGUCCUGGGAUUCAUCCCCGCGCCUCCUGGCCAUCUGUUCAAGUUUCCUUCCGACAGACCAGGCCAUCUCAAUGACCUUCAGAAGCAGAGUGAGAAGACCUCGGAGUUGUGCUGGGUUCCUCAGUUCAGCCCUGAGCAGCACAGAGGGGAAACAACUAGUGGUUGCAGGAAUCGUGGAGUCUGAGUGACAGUUGUUCACCUCCUCUACUGUGAAGAGUAAUGCAGAUAGAAAAGCAUGAUUCUGUAUCCAGGCCUUCGUCUAUCCAUUAUUCAAUCUCGAUUGGCAGGGCAAAGCACAAAACCGGGAGGUACGGUGCUCACAGAGUGCCUCUCACAUGUAUUGGAUGAGGAACCAGAUGGGACUGUAAUCUUUCUUUGUGCUUCGGAGAAAAAUCAGCCCAGCCCUUUCAAUUGGAGGUGUUUACUGGGGGAAUGCAGCUGGAAGGAUAAGGCACACACACACAAACAAAUCUAAAUCUAAAAUGCAAGGGACUUCGGAGGUGGAGACGGACUGAAAUCCCAGCUCGGAGCUUGCAAAUCCUCAGCAACCGAAGAGCAACCUUCUGUGCAUCUCAUCCUCGUUUAUGAACAAUCAACAAAGCAACUGCAGGUGAUCUUGGCUGAUGCCGCAGAGGCCUCUCAGAUGGCCAGGCCCCUGAAAACUUAUUCACCACCUCAUUAAAGCAAUUUCAAAAUCAAUUCCGGAUUUGACAAGCCGUCAGUACAUUGUUGCUUCUCCAUGAUGGGAGUGACAUGUUAACAGCAAUUAGACUUCUGCACACACACGUCGGAGCCUGUUCAGCAUAUUCUUUAUUAGAAAAGCCUAAAAAGCGUUAUUAUAAUCAUCUAACCUGGGGUCAUGGACACAUGCUCUAUGAUCUUUGCCUCUGUUGGCAGUUGCCUCGGUGAAAUUUUGCCUAUUGUCCAUAGAGAUUAAAAGGACGUGCUUACCCCAGAUGCGAUAUUGAAAAAUCAAAGGUCAGAGCAAAGCUUGUGGUGACCUCCAUGUUUUUUAAUACAAGUGAUAGGAGCAAUCAGAUUAGCAUGAACAGAUAUUGCUCCUUCUAACAGAUGGAGCAGGAUUCUUAUGCAAAUAAGGGAGGACAGGCUAAGAUAAUUUGGUGACAAUAUUCUGGGAGCAGGAGUGGAUGGCAGAGACUGGACUCCAGUUAAGCAGCGGUAUAUCAGUCAUUCCUUCUCUAGUGUAAUUAGUUUCUCCUGUUUGGAAUGGUCUCCUUUGCAGCCAGCUCUAUUGGGCAGUGGAGGUCUUCAGAGGGAGCUGACUUCUCUGUAUCACAAGCCCUGCAGAAUCCACUGAAAAAGUAUAGAGCUGGGCACGGUGGCUCAAGCCGGUAAUCUCAGCGGUUUGGGAGAGUGAGGAAGGAAGAUUACUUGAGCCUAGGAGUUCGAGACCAUGGUGGUGCACACCUGUAGUCCUAGCUACUCAGGAAGCUGAAGCAGAAGGAUUGCUUUGCUUAAGUCCAGGGGGUCGAGGCUGCAGUGAGCUAUGAUAGACACCACUGUACACCAGCCUGGGAGACUAAGUGACACCAUCUCUGAAAAUAAAAAUUUAAAAAAGAAAAAGUGUAGAAUCAUCUGAUUUUCCCAAGACUCAACCAGCCAAAUGAGAUAAAAUAAGCCUCAAAUCUUACUGGAUCCCAUUAUGUCUGGGGGGUUCUCUUAUAAAAGUCUCCCUGUGCCCCCAUACAGUUCCUUUCUGGUCUUCUCUUCUGAUUGCUGCUUUGAUGGCUACUGUUUGAGAAUGGUUUUAUGCACAGUGUCCAGUAUGAGGAAAGCUUGUGUCUUACAAUAACCUUUUAUUUAAGGACUUUUAUAAUCCUCACUUUGAAAAUGGGGAAACAGAGGAGUGGCAAGUUUCAGUCAGUUGUCUGGGAUCUCCUAGCUAGAAGGUAGGAGGCAAACACAGGUAGUUUGGCUCAGAUCUUCGAUGGUAAACCAUCACCCUAUGCUGUCUCUUUUUUCUUUUUUUUUUUUUUCUUUUUUUGAGACGGAGUCUUGCUCUGUUGCCCAGGCUGGAGUGCAGUGGUGCAAUCUCAGCUCACUGUAACCUCCGCCUCCUGGGUUCAAGCGAUUCUCCUGCCUCAGCCUCCUGAGUAGCUGGGAUUACAGGUGUGUGCCACCAUAUCCGGCUAAUUUUUGUAUUUUUAGUAGAGAUGGGGUUUCACCAUGUUGGUCAGGCUGGUCUCGAACCUCUGACCUGAUGAUCCACCUGCCUCAGCCUACCGAAGUGCUGAGAUUACAGGUGUGAGCCACUGUGCCUGGCCUACUGUCUCUUUAAUAAAGCUGAUCUCAACCCAAGGGGGCUGCCUUCCCAAGCUCUUAAUAUUGUAAUGGCUUCAACUUUCCAAGUAAGUGUUUGCUGACUCACUGAUUAACUGACUAACUGAAAGAAUGAAUGCUGAUUGACUUUAGGACGACCAAAUUCAAGCAAAGAGAUAUAUUUCAAAUUCCCAGGCAUGUGGGUUUGCCCACACCGAUCAGCUUAUUUAAAUGUGCAAACAACCCUCAACCCUGCAGUCCAUUGCUCUUCUCUGCUUUAUGUUUCCCUAUAACUCUUGUAACCACUGACAUAUGACAUAUUUUAUUUGUCUAACUCUCCCACUAGAAUAUAACUUCCAGCAGGGCAAGAAUUUUUCAAUGGUUUGUUCACUGCUG
ensembl:lncRNA